GAACUGAUAGAGAGAACUGAACGAAUGAAGAAGACUAUGGCAUCACAAGUGUCAAUCCGGAGGAUAAAAGACUAUGAUGCCAACUUUAAAAUAAAGGACUUCCCUGAAAAAGCUAAGGAUAUCUUUAUUGAAGCUCACCUUUGUCUAAAUAAGUUGGGCCCAUGAGAUGUGUGCUCUGUAUAUUCCGGAGGUACAAUUUGCCAGUGUUUCCACAAUGGAACCAAUUGUUUUACAGUCUGUUCCACAUGAUCAUUGUAAUAAGGUUUCACCAUUACCCAAUGUGCCUUUAAAUACAGUUUUACCACUUAAUUGAAGGUACACAUUCCAACUGUGGAAGAAAUUGCAGCCAGCUUUAAGAUUUUAAAUGUUUUUGUGCAAAAAAACUUUUUAUUAUGUAAUUAAUAUUUAUUUUAUUUUAUUUUAUUUUACUUUUUAUUUAUUUAUUUUUUUUGAGACAGAGUCUCACUCUGUCACCCAGGCUGGAAUGCAGUGGCAUGAUCUCGGCUCACAGCAACCUCUGCCUCCCGGGUUCAAGCAAUUCUCCUGCCUUAGCCUCCUGAGUAGCUGGGAUUACAGGUGCCCACUAUCACGCCCGACUAAUUUUUCUAUUUUUUAGUAGAGACGGGGUUUUUUCUGUGUAUUUUUGCUUAUAGUAUAUACUUACGAAAAAGUUGAAUCGUUUUGCUUAUAUUUUUUGUUUGCUUUUGAAAAUUACACAGCAUCUUUUGUGUGUCAAUAAAUUGUGUUUCUGCUGUAUUUUUAAUAGAUACUUGGUCUGUAAUACAGAAUAUCAUGAGAUUCAAC
rnacentral:lncRNA from 10 species